rnacentral:rRNA from 1 species
CCUACGGGAGGCAGCAGUAAGGAAUAUUGGUCAAUGGACGCAAGUCUGAACCAGCCAUGCCGCGUGAAGGAUUAAGGUCCUCUGGAUUGUAAACUUCUUUUAUCUGGGACGAAAAAAGGCGAUUCUUCGUCACUUGACGGUACCAGAUGAAUAAGCACCGGCUAACUCCGUGCCAGCAGCCGCGGUAAUACGGAGGGUGCAAGCGUUAUCCGGAUUCACUGGGUUUAAAGGGUGCGUAGGCGGGCAGGUAAGUCAGUGGUGAAAUCCUAGAGCUUAACUCUAGAACUGCCAUUGAUACUAUCUGUCUUGAAUAUUGUGGAGGUAAGCGGAAUAUGUCAUGUAGCGGUGAAAUGCUUAGAUAUGACAUAGAACACCUAUUGCGAAGGCAGCUUACUACGCAUAUAUUGACGCUGAGGCACGAAAGCGUGGGGAUCAAACAGGAUUAGAUACCCUGGUAGUCCACGCCCUAAACGAUGAUUACUCGACAUUUGUGAUACACUAUAAGUGUCUGAGCGAAAGCAUUAGGUAAUCCACCGNGGAGUACGACCGCGAGUUAGUAACGUUAAAGUAAGUAGUAGACGUAGAGAGAGCGACGGACGACGACGACGGAGGGAGGAG